rnacentral:lncRNA from 1 species
UUAUUUUUUUCCUUUGAUUUUGAGGUGUAUGAAAUAUUGGGUCUAGUGCUCUAAGGCCCAAUAGAGUUAUUAGUUAAUCUUAAUAUUUCCUAUAUAAGUACCCUUAGUGUGUGUAAGUAUUUUUCUACGCUCUCUCCAUCCCCCUCAAUCUUGGUUAGGGUUUAGACUGUGGAAAUGGGGGUUGCUUCGUUACAACGUGACAACCACCGCCAACUAGUGAUUCCAGUCGCGGUUCAAUUCGUUUUCGCUUCCGCUUCACGAAGAACUAGUAAGUUUUCGUUUUACGAUUUACACGCUAAAUCUAAUGUGUUUAGAUUAACGUGAUCCUUCAAUUGUAUCAGAGCCAUAAGCUAAUUUUAUGGUCCGAAAAUAUAUAUAGAAUAGUCCUAUUACUCUAUGUAAAUAUAGAACUACGUGUGUAUAUUUUUUUGAAUGAUAACACAUUUUGCUAUAUACUUUGGUAUCUAGAACAAUGUGUUUAUCCAUAGAGAAUUUCCUGUGUACUUGAUUAAGGUUAAUCGUUUCGUCCCAUUAAUCCUUUGUCUUCUACUGAUUUUGAAAUCAGUUUUCAAAAUAAUUUUAACAAAAAAAAAGGGACAACAGAAAGUACAUGAAAUAGAUAAGACGAUGACUAUUAGUUAAGUUGAUUUACACCAAAUUGCCUUUCAUUACUUGCUUUUGAAUCUGGUAAUUAUUUGAUUGUUGAAAUCACUUUUCUUUAAUCAGAACUAAAAAAAAAAAAGGAAUUUUCGAUCAGUAGUCCCGAUCUACCCCAUCGCCGCCAAGUAACCACUGUCAAAAGGACGGUGAGUGCUUAAAAGUCAAGUAGGCAUGAAGCUUCAUGUUCCAAUAGCCAUGGAAGUGAUGGUUGCGGCGCGUGAAGGAAGAAGAGAAACAUGUUUCUCCCUUCAAAAUCCUUCAUUAAGCUCAUGUUAUUUUUAAUGAUUAAGAAGAGAAAUCUCUUCUAAGAAGACGAGCUUUAUUUUCUCAAUGGCCUGGCUGGCGGCUGUAAAGGCUAAGAAAGAAGAAAGAAACAAAUUUGGUUUUUUUCCAUAGUCAAAAGUCUUCUUAGUUAUAUUUUUUCUUUAAAAAGAACGUGGGUUUAGAAAAAAAAGGAAUUUGGCUGCUUUUUUUUUUUCACUUUAAAUGGAAGACCAAAAAGGGAUUACGAAACGAGAUUUUUCCCUAUCUAUACCAUAUAGCAAACCUUAUUAUCUCUCAUGUUUAAGUUUUGUGUUUAUUACAUUUAAGCAUACAAAAUUUCAAUUUAUGUACCAUAAUUUAAAUUAAAGGUAUAAUUAUUGCUUCAUUUAUUAUAUGCAUAAUUUUAGGAGCAUAUAUUCCUUUUCCAUUCUUUUCCUCUUCUCUUUCCUAGUAUUCUGAUUGGUUGCAUAUCUUUCACCAAAGUCAUAUCUGUUUUUUUUUCAAUAGCAAGCAUCGGAUGCAAAUUUCUCAUAAUCUCAGAAUAUAGUUGAUCGGAUGAGACUGAUAAGCUAUCACACAGAGCUCAAUAAGAUAAAG